UACGGAGGGUGCGAGCGUUGUCCGGAAUCACUGGGCGUAAAGCGCGUGUAGGCUGUCUCGAAAGUCGGGUGUGAAAUCUUGGAGCUUAACUCCGAAACUGCAUUCGAUACUGCCGUGCUUGAGGACUGGAGAGGAGACUGGAAUUUACGGUGUAGCGGUGAAAUGCGUAGAUAUCGUAAGGAAGACCAGUGGCGAAGGCGGGUCUCUGGACAGUUCCUGACGCUGAGGCACGAAGGUCAGGGGAGCAAACGGG
rnacentral:rRNA from 1 species